GUGCCAUUUGAAAGAAAUUCAGACGGUGAAAGUCCUGCGGCGUGAAUCUGUGGUGAGAGUUUUGCAAAUGGAUGCGGAGGAAGUCCCGCAUGAGUUUAUUUACAUUGAGGCUGGAUUUAACCUGACAACAGUACGAAGAAGGGGAAGAAACAUCGGUCACGGGGCUAUUGUCAAUGUACCAGGGCAACGUGGGGGGAACAUUACCCUUAGUGCUGCCAUUACACAGAAUGGGGUCCUCCACCGCCGUGCCAACUUGGGUCCUUACAACACUGAACUCAUUCUUACAUUUUUAGACCGAUUACACAAUAUCAUCACAGCAGCAAACCAAAGGAACCAGAUGCAAUACAUUGCUAUCACAUGCUUCCUCCAAGCUAUGUGAUCAAAUUGAACCAGCAUCCAUACAAGGGUGGAUUCGUCACUCGAGAAGAUUCUUCCCACGUUGCCUUGCAAAUGAAAAUAUAGCCUGUGAUGUUGACGAGGCCCUGUGGCCAGAUCCAGCUUGGCGGAGGUGUUUAGU